rnacentral:tRNA from 1 species
GGAGAGAUGUCCGAGUGGUCGAUGGUGCACGCUUGGAAAGCGUGUGUGCUUGAGAGAGUACCGGGGGUUCGAAUCCCCCUCUCUCCG